CUUGGCCCUCAGGAAGAGCUCUCCCACCCCUGUGUGUGCAGACGGCUUCCGGAAGGUGGUCCACAUCGAGCAGGGAGGCCUGGUUAAACCUGAGAGGGAUGACACUGAGUUCCAGCACCCAUGCUUCCUGCGUGGCCAGGAGCAGCUCCUGGAGAACAUCAAGAGGAAAGUGACCAGCGUGAGUGGCUGGCCCUAAACACAACCCUCCUUGUCGUCCCUCCUUGCUUGUCCCUCUCUGACCCACCCUUAACCAUCCCCGUUGGCCCUUCCUACUGUGCCUCAGGCCUCCCCACUCUCCUUGGGGCCCAGCUGCAGCAUGAGAGCCAGCCCCACUCCAGGACCUCCAGAGCCUCUUGUCCACCCCCAGGUAUCCACACUAAAGAGUGAAGACAUAAAGAUCCGCCAGGAUAGCGUCACCAAGCUACUGACAGAUGUGCAGCUGAUGAAGGGGAAGCAAGAGUGCAUGGACUCCAAGCUACUGGCCAUGAAGCAGUAGGUCCUGCGUGUCCAGGGGGUGGCUGUGGAUGUGUGCUGUGGGCUAGGGAAUGGGACAAGGAGGACCUCCUGCAGAGCCACCGUCCAGCUGUGACUUCUGUGGCAGAAGCUCUGGGGCCUUCUGUAUCCAUAUUCUGGGGGAGGCAUCCUGCUGGGCCACUCCCUCCACCCGGAAAGAUAGGCCUCUGCCUGGUUCCUGAAGCCGCAGACUAGAUGAGCUUCCACUGUACAGGAUCUGGGUUCACAGACUCUGCCCUCCAGGUCCCUCGCUGAGGGCCAGGGCAGCAGGAAACUGACCAGGACAGUCCCAAGGCUAGGUCAGCUUCUCUCCCUCCCCUGGUUGCCCACAGUGUCACUCAACGCAAUGUCAACAUCCCCACCACUGCCACCAUCUCAGGCCUGGGGCAGGAAGCAGCGUAGGAUCUUUCUUGAAUUUUUGCCUAUGUAUGUUUGGCACACACCUGACCACCUGGGGCCCCUCCUCAACAAGGACCCAGGGUUCUAGAGGCUUUGCAGGCAGCCUAGCACUUAAGAAACUGAGGCACGGGUCUCUUUUCCACUCUGGGUCCCUGGAGACUCAGGAAUUCUACCCAUAUAGCACAAGAGGCCCUGGGUUCACACUCCCCACAUUAGGCCUAGCAGAAGCCACUGACUUUAUGACCAGUGGAUGUGGCUUUUCUCACAGUAUGGCCAAGGGGCCAUUUCUUUGUCCAGGAGAUAUGGGCUUUGCAGGGCUAGCCCACCAGAGCAUCAGGAAUGCACCAGAUCUUGCUUACCUACCUGGGUGGGGGAACCAUGUUUUGGCAGCUCAUCCCUAUCCCCACCAGGCCACUUCCACACUUGGUGCAGGGCCCUCAGCCCCUACAAGGUGCAGGGCACCCUCCAGGUGUCACUCAGCAAACUGAGGAAUCUGUGUUUCGGAAACCUGAUCCCUUGGUGGGAGCAGAUGACUGGGGUUGGAUUCAAGUUCAAAGAACCUCCCAGUCACCACCCCGACCCCACCGCAUCAUCAGUGGGUGUCCUGCAAACCCCACCUUUGUCCUCUGGGAAGCACACCAGAGGUUGAAGGGGGGCAAUGUUGCCAGCAAGCCCUCGCCUGGCCCCGGCCCUUGUCCCACACCCCCUUGGACCUGCCUAGGGCAGGGGAGGCUACAGAAUACCCCUGCUGAGACUGCUGUGAGGCCUGCCUGACCCAGCCUGUAUUGCAGCGAGAACGAAGCCCUGUGGCGAGAGGUGGCCAGCCUGCGGCAGAAGCAUGCCCAGCAGCAGAAAGUCGUCAACAAGGUGGGGCAGGGCUGGCGGUGGUGGGUCCCUCCACAGCAGGGCUGGAGUGACUAUAUCCUCUCUGCCCUACAGCUCAUUCAGUUCCUGAUCUCGCUGGUGCAGUCCAACCGGAUCCUGGGGGUGAAGAGAAAAAUGUGAGGCACUGGGGGUGCCUGUACCCUCUGCUCAGGCCCUGGGCCCUCCCUGUGCUCCGUCUGCUGCAUCCUAGCGAGCAGCUAACCCCCACCCCUUCCCCACAGCCCGCUGAUGUUGAGCGACAGCAGCUCCGCACACUCGGUGCCCAAGUAUGGCCGGCAGUACUCCCUGGAGCAUGUGCAUGGUCCAGGCCCAUACUCGGUAAGCACUAGGUUGGGCAGGACGGCCCCCACAGGUCGUGCAGGGUGCUUGCUGCGUGCUCCAGGGUGGCCACAGGCAGACCCUACACGUGACCCAGCCCCUACCUCUGUUUGCAGGCUCCAUCCCCAGCCUACAGCAGCUCCAGCCUCUAUACCCCAGACGUUGUUACCAGCUCUGGACCCAUAAUCUCCGACAUCACUGAGCUGGCUCCCGCCAGCCCUCUGGCCUCCCCAGGCAGGAGCAUAGAUGAGAGGUGGGGCUGUGUACCCCCCCCCCAGCCCUCCUGUCACCUCACUGGGCCAGCCCAUAUGAGCCCGGGGUAGAGUUGGGAGGGAGUGGUGCCCGCUGAGGUUCCUGCUAACGUGUCCCCCAACAUGUCCAGGCCCCUGUCCAGCAGUCCCCUGGUGCGUGUCAAGGAGGAGCCCCCCAGUCCACCUCGGACGCCCCGAGUGGAGGAGGCGAGUCCCAGGCACCCGUCCUCUGUGGACACCCCCUUGUCCCCAACUGCCCUCAUCGACUCCAUCCUGCGGGAGAGCGAGCCUGCCCCCACCUCAGCUACAGUCCCCACUGAUGCCGGAGGCCGCGUCCCCUCGUCCCCACCUCGCUCAGCCCCCGAGAAGUGCCUCAGCGUAGCCUGUCUGGACAAGUGAGUGCUGCCCCUGAGCACACAGCCUGAGCCUGUGCUGGGACUGCCCCGAGGGGUGGGGUACUGAACCCCCAGGCCCUGCAGGGGUAUGGGAUUUGCAAAUAGUAAGCAAACAGGAUUAGGGCCAGGGAGGGAGUUGAAUUUGGCCAGAUCACUCUACAAUCUGGGGCCCCUGCCCGCUGGCCACCCUUUUGGCUGCCAUCGCCCUCUCCUGCAAACCACAGGACCCUUGCCUGUCAUGCUGCCCAGACCAGCAGCAAGAGAUGGUGAGCCGGGCCUGGCUUUGACCCCUUUGGCCCUGUCCAGAGGCUGAGUGAGUGAGGAUGGUGGGCUCAGAGCCCACCCUCUGGCCCCCACCUGCAAUGGGGGGGCUCUUGUCUUUGUAUCUUGCAGUUUGGCUCGCGCUCCACAGAUGUCUGGGGUCGCCCGCCUCUUCCCCUGCCCCUCCUCUUCCUUUCUGCAUGGCCGAGUCCAGCCAGGGUUAGCGCGGCCCCCAUUGGGGAGGGAGGAGGGCUCUGUCAGAGCUCGGGCCCCUCCUGCAGCCAUGAAGCAGACCCUGCCCUGUGCACAGCACUCACCCUGUUUGUCAAGGGUGCCGGGGGAGGGCUUCCCAGGCUCUGCAUCCUCACUGACUUCCCAGGCAUGGGCCAAUGGCUGUGACUGGGACAAAACCCUACCUGGCCCAGCCACCAGUGCAGGCAGGAUCCAGGCUGCUGUGCUGCGCUUACUUUCGGGGUGGGGUGGGCCCAUGGCACCUGUAGAGCUGUCCUGGCUGUCCUUCCCAUGGCCCCCAGAUACCCCCAGCAGCACCAGGGGAGGUGCAGACCCAGUCAUGCUGAGGAUAGCCUGUCUGCCUUCUUUACUCUUCCAAGUGCUGUGGCAAGACCUUGUUAAGCCUGAAAAACUGCACUAGAGCUGAACCCCUCGUCCCCUGGUGCUUUCUUGCCCCAGCCUUGAUCACCCCCAAGGCCUUCCAGCCUUGUACCAGUAUCCUGUGGGCCAAGCUGCACCCUACCCUCAGUAGUCAUGGAGGACACAGAGCUCACCACUGCCCUUCCAGCACCUUCCAGUUGUGUGUGUAUAUAUACACAGACACACUGUCCCCCCAGCCCAUGCUGGGGGUGCCGAGGGGCCCCAUCUAGGGAAUGGGUGUAGCCAAGGGAGAGCCCUUCUCUACAGGAGUGUGUCUGGGGCUCUGGUUCACCUGCCCACUCACCCCGGGCCAGGAAUGAGCUCAGUGACCAUUUGGAUGCCAUGGAUUCCAACCUGGACAACCUGCAGACCAUGCUGACCAGCCAUGGCUUCAGUGUGGAUACCAGCGCCCUGCUGGACGUGAGUCUGCCCUAUCUUCUCCCUGCUCCACCCCAUUCUCUGUAAGCCAGCCCUGACUUCCCUCCCUCCCUCCUGCAGCUGUUCAGCCCCUCCGUGACCAUGCCCGACAUGAGCCUGCCUGACCUUGACAGCAGCCUGGCCAGCGUGCGUAGGCGGGCAGGGUGGGGGGCGGGGGCACCAGCAGCAGUCCUCAUCAUGUCCCUUCCACCCCACAGAUACAGGAGCUCCUGUCUCCCCAGGAGCCCCCCAGGCCUCUUGAGGCAGAAAACAAUGGCCCUGACUCAGGUGAGCCAAGCCCUGUGCCUGCCCCCCAUCCUCCCACCACCCAUAUGGCCCUGACCCCCACCCACCCACAGGGAAGCAGCUGGUGCAGUACACAGCACAGCCUCUGUUCCUGCUGGACCCGGACGCCGUGGACACGGGGAGCAGUGAACUACCUGUGCUCUUUGAGCUGGGGGAGGGCUCCUACUUCUCCGAGGGAGACGACUACACAGAUGAUCCCACCAUUUCCCUGCUGACAGGCUCUGAGCCCCCCAAAGCCAAGGACCCUACUGUCUCCUAGAGAUGCCAAGAGGGACUGGGAGGGCCUGUGGCCUGCUUCCACCCUUAGGACAGGUUUGGGGGAGGCAGGACAGGCACACAGCCUCCACAGCCCCAGUGGGGGAAGAGGGGCUCAGGGCUGGACAGUGCCUCCAGUCCAGAGUGAGGGCCCUUGGGCCUGCACACCUGCUGCCUUCGCCCAGCCCCGCAUCCCCAUGGCUUGUUUGGGGCUUCACAGUCACAACUUGGACUGAUUCUGCAGGUUGUUCAUAGAAUUGUAUUUUGGAUUUUUACAUGAGGGUCCCCCUUUCCCCUUCACAGAGAAAUAUAUACACACAGACGGACAGACAAGACGGGCAGAGAUCUAUAAACCGACAAGCUCUAUGCUAUGGCUUUCUAUGUG
rnacentral:lncRNA from 1 species